GUCAGGAUGGCCGAGCGGUCUAAGGCGCUGCGUUAAGGUCGCAGUCUCCUCUGGAGGCGUGGGUUCAAAUCCCAUUUCUGACA
rnacentral:tRNA from 1 species